AUUGAACGCUCGCGGCAUGCUUUACACAUGCAAGUCGAACGGCAGCGCGGGCUUCGGCCUGGCGGCGAGUGGCGAACGGGUGAGUAAUACAUCGGAACGUGCCCAGUAGUGGGGGAUAGCUCGGCGAAAGCCGGAUUAAUACCGCAUACGACCUGAGGGUGAAAACGGGGGAUCUUCGGACCUCGCGCUAUUGGAGCGGCCGAUGGCAGAUUAGCUAGUUGGUGGGGUAAAGGCCUACCAAGGCGACGAUCUGUAGCUGGUCUGAGAGGACGACCAGCCACACUGGGACUGAGACACGGCCCAGACUCCUACGGGAGGCAGCAGUGGGGAAUUUUGGACAAUGGGCGAAAGCCUGAUCCAGCAAUGCCGCGUGUGUGAUGAAGGCCUUCGGGUUGUAAAGCACUUUUGGCGGGAACGAAAAGGACUGUGCCAAUACCACGGUUCGAUGACGGUACCCGCAGAAUAAGCACCGGCUAACUACGUG
rnacentral:rRNA from 1 species